CUCCAGCCGUAAAAUUAUUGUUGAAAUGAUCCCUCCUGUUUUCAAGGGCUUUCUCCUGGCAUAGACGAGUUGGUCAAGAUGCUGAAGGCUAAUAAUACCACUGUUUACCUUAUCUCUGGAGGCUUUCGUCCAAUGAUCAAUCCUGUUGCAUCAGUCCUUGGGAUUCCACAUGAAAACAUCUUUGCCAAUCGAUUGCUAUUUGGAAGUUCUGGGGAGUUUGUGGGGUUUGACACCAAGGA